rnacentral:lncRNA from 1 species
CACAUAAACUAUCAGUAUAUAAACAUAUAGCGUACAUGUUCAUAUAAGUAUUAUAUAUUUAUACAUAAGUAUACGACUUAUGUGUAGGACUACUAUUGAUAGAAUUGACUUCUGCCUUUACAGUCACUGAUUUAUGGCCAAGUAGCUAAAACUGCUUAAUGUUUAAUACAUUUGUACAUGCUAUAAAACGCUUCUUAAUAAUUUAGCAAAUAAAGAGAACUUACAAACCUAUUAUACUUUCCCUUCUUUCUCAGCAUGAAUAUCCUGUCUCUGAUAUGAAUGACUUACUUCUCAAAACAGGUAUAUUCUUAAAGAGAUCUAGGCAAUUAAAAUGCUUUUUUAAAAUUUUAUUUAUUUUUAAUUUAUUUUCUUUGUCUUUUUGCCUUUUAUAGGGCCGCUUCUGAGGCAUGUGGAGGUUCCCAGGCUAGGGGUCCAAUUGGAGCUGUAGCCGCCAGCCUACACCACAGCCACAGCUACUCGGGAUCAGAGCCGCGUCUGCAACCUACACCACAGCUCAUGGCAAUGCUGGAUCCUUAACCCACUGAGCAAGGCCAGGGACCGAACUCGCAACCUCAUGGUUCCUAGUCAGAUUCGUUAACCACUGAGCCACGAUGGGAACUCCAAAUUAAAAUGUUUUUUUUUAAAAAACCCCACACAUGUAAAAAAAAACACUAGGGAAAAUUAACUAUUUAAGUUUGCUAUAGAUUGAAUAAUUUAGAAAAGCAAAUAAUCCCUCCUUUAUUUGUUCAUUUUACAGUUCAGAUUUUAGACGUCAUAGGGAGACUAAAGCAAGGCUCACAUGUAUACUUUGCUGAUGGUCUCGGAGGUGGUGCUCAUGAUGGAGGAGGUGCUGAUGGAGAUGUUGAGAGGCAGUGAUGAAGACAGGGAAACCAAGUGGUUAAAUGACUUCUUUGGAUGAGUUCAGAAGAGGCACCUGAGCCAAGGAUCCAAGUCAGGGACACUAGGCUUCUGCACCCAGCUGGGGCCGUUCAGACUGAUACAGAUGUGAAGAUGGCGAACUUUUCUGAGUGACUUAUCAGAAGGAUGGCGGGAUGGCUUUCAGCCAGCCGUUGAACUCACUCUGGAUGGUUGUCAAGGAUGAAAGUUCUAUUGGCAGAUCUCUCCCAUGAAAUGUGUGUGUCUGUGUUUUAUUUAUUUAUUUUUAACUUUUUCGCUCACCUGACUCCUCACUGGUUUGGUUGAUCUGUAUCAUGGCGUUUAUCUGCUUGUCUCUGGAGUGUUAGACCACGUAGGGGUAAAGAUGUGGGCACCAUGCCAGGACCCGAACUUGUGAGUGGUGCCAGCCAAAACCAAUUUCUGACUCACCAGGAAAUGACGUGCUAGGAGCUCUUAAGAUGCCAGUGUAUUUUUCUAGGGCAAUGCCUUGACCAAAUGACCUUGCACAUCUGCCUCCUUCCCAUCUCCAUGUUCCCAACCUGUGGUCACUCCAUUAAUUGGGAUGAAUAAAAUAUCCUCUCAAGUUAAUCUCC